UAAAAUUCACAUUUUUUAAACUACAAAAACUCCCUAUAAAUUCUAAAACAUACUUAAAUCCUUUUUACCAAACCAUCUGCAUAACAUAUCCUUCAAAAUCUAAAUCCAACCAAAAUUUGUGAUAAAGAUUUAAGAACAUUUCAAAAAUUUGAGUUUUAUAUAAUUAAUGCAGAAAAAAGAAAUAUGUCAAAAUCUACGUAUCAUUUAAAUGUUAUACAGUUUUGAAGAAAAAUUUCAAAUUGUCAUACGUUUCUUUCAAGUUAAAUACUUUGGAACUACCCAUUUAAAAAAGAAAAAGAAGAAGAAGAAGAAGCCGAUAGAGAUUCCCGAAACAUGGUCGAAUUCAAUUCACGUUUUGUUUGUCUUUCUGCUUUCUAGUAUGGC
rnacentral:lncRNA from 1 species